CUGGCCAGUUCCUCAAGUAAAAGAUUUUAAAAUCCUGCUUUUUUAUGUGUUCCGCUAAUUGUGCCGGUGUGUAUAUAAUAUAUAUGUAUAUU